UGGGGAAUAUUGCACAAUGGGCGCAAGCCUGAUGCAGCAACGCCGCGUGAACGAUGAAGGUCUUCGGAUCGUAAAGUUCUGUUGCAGGGGAAGAUAAUGACGGUACCCUGUGAGGAAGCCCCGGCUAAGUACGUGCCAGCAGCCGCGGUAAUACGUAGGGGGCUAGCGUUAUCCGGAUUUACUGGGCGUAAAGGGUGCGUAGGUGGUCUUUCAAGUCGGUGGUUAAAGGCUACGGCUCAACCGUAGUUAGCCUCCGAAACUGGAAGACUUGAGUGCAGGAGAGGAAAGUGGAAUUCCCAGUGUAGCGGUGAAAUGCGUAGAUAUUGGGAGGAACACCAGUAGCGAAGGCGGCUUUCUGGACUGCAACUGACACUGAGGCACGAAAGCGUGGGUAGCAAACAGG
rnacentral:rRNA from 1 species